rnacentral:rRNA from 1 species
GAUGAACGCUGGCGGUGUGCCUUAAGCAUGCAAGUCGAACGAACUCUUCGGAGUUAGUGGCAGACGGGUGAGUAACACGUAGAAAUCUACCCAGUAGUGGGGAAUAGCCCACCGAAAGGUGGGGUAAUACCGCAUACUCCCUUCGGGGCAAAGCAUUUAUGCGCUAUUGGAGGAGCCUGCGUCCUAUCAGGUAGUUGGUGGGGUAAUGGCCUACCAAGCCGAUGACGAGUAGCCGAUGUAAGAGCAUGAUCGGCCACAAGGUAACUGAGACACGGUGCCUACACCUACGGGUGGCAGCAACUGGGAAUCUUGCGCAAUGGACGAAAGUCUGACGCAGCGACACCGCGUGUGGGAAGACGGCCUUCGGGUUGUAAACCACUGUGGCGAGGGAACAAGAUCUGAGGGUACCUCGCUAGAAAGCACCUGCUAACCACGUGCCAGAAGCCUCGGUAAUACGUGGGGUGCAAGCGUUAUCCGGAUUUACUGGGCGUAAAGGGUCCGUCGGCGACCUGAUAAGUUGUUGGUUUAAGCCUGGGGCUCAACUCCAGAAAAGCCAACAAAACUGUCAGGAUUGAGUCUGUUCGGGGUAACUGGAAUUCUCGGUGGAGGGGUGAAAUCCGUAGAUAUCGAGAGGAACGCCAAGCGCGAAGGCAGGUUACUAGGACACGACUGACGCUCAGGGACGAAAGUUAGGGUAGCAAAAGGGAUUAUAGACCCCUGUAGUCCUAACCGUAAACACUCCUUGCUAGCUGCCUCUCACCUCAUUUUGGAGCCGUUAAUGAUUUCUGUACAGGCUUUACUUAAGUCGUACAAAAUUUUUAGCGAGUUCGAAAGCUGAGGUGAGGGGUGGCGUAAGCUAACGCGUUAAGCAAGGCGCCUGGGGAGUACGACCGCAAGGUUAAAACUCAAAGGAAUUGACGGGGGAGCGCACAACCGGUGGAGCAUGUGGUUUAAUUCGACACGAAGCGAAAAACCUUACCCGGGUUUGACAUGUACCUGCACGGCCUAUGAAAGUAGGCUUUCUUCGAGAGUGGUACACAGGUGAUGCAUGGCUGUCGUCAGCUCGUGUCGUGAGACGUCCUCUUAAGUGAGGUAACGAGCGCAACCCCUAUCGCCAGUUACAAGUGUCUGGCGAGACUGCCCUGCCUUAAGCAGGGAGGAAGGAGGGGACGACGUCAAGUCAGCAUGUCCCUUACACCCGGGGCUACACACGUCCUACAAUGGGACUGACAACGGGUAGCGACGCCGCGAGGCUGAGCCAAUCCUAAUAAACAGUUCCUCAGUUCGGAUUGAGGGCUGCAACCCGCCCUCAUGAAGCCGGAAUCGGUAGUAAUCGCAAAUCAGCAGGUUGCGGUGAAUACGUUCUCGCUCCUUGUACACACUGCCCGUCAAGCCAGCAAAAUCGGCAGUACCCGAAGCGGGUGACCGUAACUUCUUACGAAGAGCGGCCCCACUACGGUAAGGUCGGUGAUGAGGACUAAGUCGUAACAAGGUAUCCGUACUGGAAGG